rnacentral:rRNA from 1 species
CCUACGGGUGGCAGCAGUGGGGAAUAUUGCACAAUGGGCGAAAGCCUGACGCAGCGACGCCGCGUGAGGGAUGAAGGUCUUCGGAUCGUAAACCUCUGUCAGCAGGGAAGAACGGUCACUGGGCUAAUCAGCAGUGAAUUGACGGUAACUGCGAAGGAAGCACCGGCGAACUCCGUGCCAGCAGACGCGGUAAUACGGAGGGUGCGAGCGUUAAUCGGAAUUACUGUGCGUAAAGCGCGCGUAGGCGGUAUGGCAAGUCAAGAGUGAAAUCCCCGGGCUCAACGUCGGAACUGCCUUUGAAACUGGUGAACUUGAGUGUGUGAGAGGAAAGUGGAAUUCCAGGUGGAGCGGUGAAAUCCGUAGAUAUCUGGAGGAACAUCAGUGGCGAAGGCGACUAUCUGGAACAUAACUGACGUUGAGGAGCGAAAGCGUGGGUAGCAAACAGGAUUAGAUACCCCGGUAGUC